AAGACUUUAAAAUCCUAGUGUAGUCAAUUAAAAGAUUUUAAAGGAUUUUAGAAUCCAUUCAAAUAUAGGUGUAGUCAAUUAAGGGAUUUUAGAAUCCUUUAAAAUCUAGGUGUAGUCAAUUAAAAGAUUUUAAAGGGUUUUAAAAUCCAUCCAAAUCUAAGUGUAUUAAAAAAAUUAAGAUUUUGGAGGAUUUCAAUAAGUUGUGGAUUUUGUGGGAUUUGAGAGCCAAAAGUAUAUAUAACCAAGAUUAAAAAGAAUCCAACCUCACCCCCUAGGAUUUCAAAUCCUUCCACCACAAUCCAUCACAAUCCAUUCAAAUUCUUUAAAAAUCCAUAUGAAUUUUGAAGGAGUCUUUAAUCCUCUUAAAUCCUAUCAAAUCUAUCACUAUUAAAGUCCUUUAAAAUCCUGUAAAAUCUUAGUUUGACUACACCCCCCUUAGUACAAAAGAAAAAAAUUAAUAUUACUGACAUAUUAAAAAUUGAAUAUGAAAAGCUUUAU
rnacentral:lncRNA from 1 species